AGGUCGACAUCGGUGGAUCGGCAGGAGUGGAGGACCCAGCACGGCGGGCAGCCCGGAGCACUCCGGGAGGCCCUUGGGGUGAAGCCGCACCGCGCGGCCGGGCAUCUUCGCCUGCCCGAACCCGACAGGUCAUCCUUCACAGGCGGCUGACGAAGGGCUG
rnacentral:sRNA from 2 species